rnacentral:lncRNA from 1 species
AGAAAGUAAAACCCAUACUGGCACCAUUUUUUACAAGCUCUCUACUGAUACCAUAAUGAUUUGCAUUAAGGAACACUAUUGUAUCAGGCAAACUGUAGUGUCAGCUACAAAAGGUUGAAGUAUAUGUGCUUAACUCAUUAAAAAAAAAGCAACAACAAGCGUGAAUAACUGUUGCAUCGAGAAAUAUUCUGCCAGUUAAAAAAUGGAUAAUUAUUUAGUACACUUGCGAUGGUAAGUUUUUAUUCCACAAGCGGAGUUAAGAUUUUGCUAUGUGUCCUUAAGUAGCAUUUAAAAAAUUAAAUAAAUAAGACAUGAGGCAAAAUCUCAACCUUGCUUGUCGAAUAAAAACUUUCCACCGCCUAUGUACCAAAUAAUUACCCGUAAAAGAAUUCAGACACAACAUAUAUUAUAAAUUAGGAAACAUGACAAAGUCGUUCUUAC